UGUCAUGACUGUUGGGUCUGUUGGUUUUCUAUUACUCUUACUACAUUUACUAGUAAAUUAAUUGCCAUGUAGAGAUAUAAUUUCUACCAAAAACAGUGAUUGAGCAGGUUAGUGAUGUUGGACUUUUAUUCUGAACACAACUGUACCAAUACUUUUACCAAACAUGUUAGCGAAAUGGAGAGUUUAGUGGAAUAGUAAGCUAGAGCAAAGAAAUCAAAUAACUAACUUUAGUUUUUGGUCUGCAGCUCUUGCUCGGAAUUCCAGAACAAGCAUUAAAUAUCCUACACAUGGCUAUUGAACCCAUUCUGUCUCAUGGGGCUGUGCUGGAUAAAGGUCAGGCCAUGUUUCUGGUAGCCAAAUGUCAAGUAGCUUCAGCUGCAUCCUAUAACCUGCAAAGGAAAACAGAAGGUUAGGAGUCCGACAUUCUAAAUCUUAAUGAAGCUAAAUCAUACUUUGCUAUUGUGGAUUGCAAAGAGCUGAUCCAGGACAUCUUGUACUUGUAAGCUAGGCUGUAUAACACUUUGGGCAACAUACAAGAAAGGAACAAAUGCUCAAUGAUUUUCCGCCAGAUGCAUCAGGAACUUCCUUCUCAUGGGGUAUCAUUAGUUAUUCGCCUAUAGGAGCUCAGAUGACACAACACUGUGGCUGCUCCUUGUGAGGGUAAAUUGCCCUGGACCAUUCAAUUCUGUGAUUUUUGUUUUGAGGCAAAAUCUCCUGGAUUGAUAUAUAAAGGUGAUGCAAAGCCAAUGCCCAAAGAUGUCCUCUUGAAGGCUGCUUCAUGAAAAAACCAAUAAUGAUUUUCAGAACAAGUUCUUUUUUCAGAACCUGCCAAAUCUGGCACCUCUUUACAACCUGAAGCUGGCCAUAGACGCAAAGAGCCGAUCGUACGAAACGACAAUUCGUACUAUUUUCGGACCGUGUGUGGAGAGUCCCGACAUUUUUCGUCCUGCGGAGAUCGGUCGUUUGGACGAUCGGCCGAUCGUUUGAGGAUUCGAACAAUCGUAUCUUUGCAUCUAUGGCCAGUUUAAGAGUUUUGCUGCCUUUAUUUGACAGUAUCUGUUCCACUGGAUCCUGUUAUGAUAGGACAUACAGAAAUCAGCCUCUAAAUGUAGUCGAACAAACAGUACAUGUGUAACACUGUAUAGUGUUCUCAAGAACAAGUAUUUGUUUAUAAUGGCAUAGUAUGUACUGUCUGAGGUGUUUUUAAAGUAAAUUAAUCUUCAUAAUGA